AUUUAAAUAGUUUAAUAAAAACAUUGAUUUGUGGUAUCAAAAAUAAGAUAAUCUUUUUAAAUU
rnacentral:tRNA from 1 species